UAUAAAUACUAAGGUAAACCUCCAUCAUGGGGAUCUAUCACUUCUCUUUACUGGAAAAACUCUCUUGAGUAUCUAUUGUGAAAAGAUAUAACUUAGGCAUCGGAGAGUCCCUCGUUGGGUCAACCCGGCUCUCCCCUGUCUUCUCUUCUGUGUAGAUCCAUUGGAGCAUCAGGAGCUGCAAAGAAGAUCGGCUGGUCAAUUUUUACCACAUCAGGUACUUUGGUCAAGCUAUUAACCUGUAGAAGACUUGGCCACUUUAGCUCUAAUGUUCCAUCAGAAGUUAAAAUUCAAUUCUAGGAAUUCUUUCAAAUCGCUCCCACAAACUUGCUUGAUCGGUAUUUGGGCAUACCUCUCACCACGGGAAAGUUAUCUAAGGCCUAUUGUGAGGACCUAGUUCAAAGGGUUUCCGCCAGUCUCUAGCAUUGGAAAACCCAAUAUUCGAGCUUGGUAGGCAAACUUGUUCUCAUCCACUCCACAUUAUCAGUCAUGCCUCUAUAUACAAUGUCAUGCUUUAACCUCCCAAGAUCGGUGCUCACAACAUUGGACAGGAUUAACAAAGAUUUCUACUGGUCAUGUGGUUCCUCAUCACAGGUUCCCACCAUCUCCUGGAAGGACAUUUGUAAACCCAAAUGGGUUGGUGGACUGACCAUAAAGCAAGCAUCCUAUAUGAAUAAGGCACUUCUUGCAAAAAAAAGGUUGGGGGCUACUCACUCAUCCUCAUUCUCUAUGGGCGAAGAUGAACGAGAAAUACUUUCUGCAGUCGACUUUCUUAGAAGCAAUAUGUCCCACCACUGCUUCCUGGGGAUGGAAGGUGGUAUGUUCUGCCCGCGAGCUGCUCAGAUGUGGUCUUUUCAAACUGCUGGGAGAUGAGAUGUAGAACAACUCUUGACAGUAAAGGGCAUCAAUUACCUUAAAGGCAACACUCUAAGUGUGACUCAACUUCAAUUCUGUUCAAAGCUUCUUCAGUUGCUGUGGUGGUGAUUCAACAUCUAUGUCAAGCUUUUCCUCAUCUCAUUUCAGCCAAUGAUCAAUACUACAACAUCAUAGUAGUUUCUACUGCAAAAACUUUGUAUUGCAAUUUGUUUUAUUUUUGAAAGAAAUUGUAAUACAAUUACCCAACAAGUAUCAAUGCUCAUCAACCAAGAAGAAAAAACAUGGAGACAAGACAUUGUUUUGCAUUGGUGGCCACCGAAAAUUACCUCUCACAUUCUUGCCAUCCCGAUUCCUCAAGUCCCCACUUCGGAUAGAUGGGUGUGGGCAGCCACUGCAAAUGGAAAAUUUUCGGUGGCUUCCGCAUAUAGCAUCGCCAUUGGGGGAUUCUCUCAAGCCUCAUCAGGUCAAUGGUUAAAAUUGUGGCACCUACCAACCAUGUCAAAAAUUCAGCACUUACUUUGGAAGACUACACACAACAAACUUCCACUCCCUGAUCUGUUAAACCUGCGUGGAUUCUCUAUCAACCCCCUUUGUGCCAUAUGUUCAACUCUAUCACAGACCCCCACCCAUCUCUUUCUUCAUUGCCUAGUUACGGAGCAUAUCUAGAAAUUAGCGGGAUUGGGGACAGUGCCAUCUUGUUCAUCUAUUUCCAUAGCAAUCUCUUCAGUUAUCAAGAGCUUUCGCCCCAACAACAGGCAACUCUCUCUCAAAGCAACGCUCUUCUGUUAUAUCAUUUGGGAAAUUUGGGUGAGCUAUUGGAACCUCAUCUUCCGAAGUCAGCAAUUUCAACCUCAGAGACUGCUAGUUAAUGCUAUCAGAGGAGCCUGAGAGAUCACAUCUCUAAUCUCUGUUCCUCCUCGCAAUCCCAUAUUAUUCUCUUAGUCUCCUCCCCCUAGAGGUAUAUGGAAAAUUAAUGUGGAUGGGGUAAGCAAAGGAAACCCGAGGCCUGCGGGAAUUGGUGGAAUUUGUGGCGAUAGUAAUGGAACCUUCAUAUGCUGCUUUUCCGUAGGAGUUGGAUUUAAUCAGGCGAUCACCGCCGAGGGAUGGGGCAAUUCGAAAAGCUCUCUUGCUGGCCUCCAAGCUCGAAAGGGCUGCUUUUAUUAUUGAGAGUGAUAACAUGUUGGUGAUCAAUAUUCUCAAUGGUAGCAUUACCCUCUGGCCAUGGCGUAUCUCCACAAUUAUCUCUGACUGCCAACACAUUGCUCAAACAAUUCCACAUCAGCAGUUUCAACAUUCAUACAAAUAGGCGAAUGCAGUUGUUGAUAACCUUGCUUCGGAGGCUGCUUCUUUCCAAGAUCCUUUUUCCUUAAUG